AAGUCGUAACAAGGUUUCCGUAGGUGAACCUGCGGAAGGAUCAUUACCGAGUUAGGGUCUUCUAGGCCCGAUCUCCCAACCCUGUGUUUACUCAACCUUUUGUUGCUUCGGCGAGCCCGUCCCCCAAGGGGACCGCCGGAGGACCGUCUACACGUCCUCUGGCCCGCGCUCGCCGACGGCCCCAAUCCAAAACUCAUGAACCAAACUUGAAUUGACUGAGUACCACAUUUAAUCAAAACAAAACUUUCAACAACGGAUCUCUUGGUUCUG
rnacentral:misc_RNA from 1 species